UACGUAGGGUGCAAGCGUUAAUCGGAAUUACUGGGCGUAAAGCGUGCGCAGGCGGUUCGGAAAGAAAGAUGUGAAAUCCCAGGGCUUAACCUUGGAACUGCAUUUUUAACUGCCGGGCUAGAGUAUGUCAGAGGGGGGUAGAAUUCCACGUGUAGCAGUGAAAUGCGUAGAGAUGUGGAGGAAUACCGAUGGCGAAGGCAGCCCCCUGGGAUAAUACUGACGCUCAUGCACGAAAGCGUGGGGGGCAAACAGG
rnacentral:rRNA from 1 species